CGAGUGGCGGACGGGUGAGUAAUGCGUAGGAAUCUGUCUUAGUGAUUGGGAUAACCCGAGGAAACUCGGGCUAAUACCAAAUAAUAUCGCGAGAUCAAAAGCAGGGGACUCUACGCAAGUAGAGCCUUGUGCACUAAGGUGAGCCUACGUCGGAUUAGCUAGUUGGUAAGGUAAAGGCUUACCAAGGCGACGAUCCGUAGCUGGUCUGAGAGGAUGAUCAGCCACAUUGGGACUGAGACACGGCCCAAACUCCUACGGGAGGCAGCAGUGGGGAAUAUUGGACAAUGGGGGCAACCCUGGUCCAGCAAUGCCGCGUGUGUGAAGAAGGCCUUCGGGUUGUAAAGCACUUUAGGUGGGGAAGAAGGAUAAUCGAUGAAUAAUCGGUUAUUUUGACAGUACCCGCAGAAUAAGCACCGGCUAACUCUGUGCCAGCAGCCGCGGUAAUACAGAGGGUGCGAGCGUUAAUCAGAAUGACUGGGCGUAAAGGGCGCGUAGGUGGUUGACUAGGUUUGAUGUGAAAUCCCCGGGCUUAACCUGGGAAUGGCGUCGAAAACGGGUUAACUAGAGUGAGACAGAGGGUUGUGGAAUUUCCGGUGUAGCGGUGAAAUGCGCUGAUAUCGGAAGGAACACCAGUGGCGAAGGCGACAACCUGGGUCUUAACUGACACUGAGGCGCGAAGGCGUGGGGAGCAAACAGGAUUAGAUACCCUGGUAGUCCACGCAGUAAACGAUGAGAACUAGCUGUGCGGCGUGGGGCCUAGUGCUCUGCGCGACGUAGCGAAGCUAACGC
rnacentral:rRNA from 1 species